AGAGGUACCUUCCCCGGGCUCUUCUCAGACCUUACGUCUUUUAAUUCAUUCAGUGUUCACGGCCGCCUUAUGAGGUGGGUCCUAUCAUCCUUCUUCACAGGCGGAGCAAUGCAUCCUUAUGUCCCUGAAAGAGCUAUAGAAAGGUCACAUCCCUACGCAGCAGUGGAGUUGAGCCCUGAGGUCAGGCUGGCUACCGAGACCAGGCUCACAACCAUGCCCCACACUGCCUCUCCGAAUGCCAUCUUCCAGUAAUCUCUACGAUAACCUCAGAGUCCUUUUUUCACUGCAAGAUACACUGCCUUCCAGGGUGACAGCGGCUUUCAUAUCAGAUCUCGACCUCUCGGCCGCCUCCAGGGUGUGUGGCCGGCCCUCCCCUCUGACGUCUCCGGCAGCGUGGGCCCCGGGCAUGCGUCCUUCGUGUCGCUGAAGCCGCCGCGUGGAGGUGCUCCCCCAUCUUGCUUGCGCUCCGCUUUGCGUGCGGUUGGCAACGGGUCUUGGAAAAAUGGGAGAAUGGCGUAGCCUGGGAUUGACACGUGAUUCUGGUUUUUUGUGUUGUUUUCAAUGCUGUGCAAAGUUGUCAUCUCCAAAUCUUGCACAAAGAGCUGCGAUGGCAAGUUUGCACACGCACGAAAAGGAAAGAAAGAAAAAGAGAACGCAAGAGGUUGGGCACCUGCAAACGUCUGACUGCCCGUGGAAAUGAAGAGGACCUUCAUUUGCACAUUAAAGUUGGAAGAGCUUGGGCAAGAUGUUUACCGGAGGACGAGGCCACAAGUUAUUCUUCAACUAGCAAUAAUCGCUUCUCAUAUGACCCCCAUUGGCUCCGAUGCUGCCCCUGCACGUAGCUGCCACUCUUGGAAGGUCUCAGAAUGCCAAGACUGUGACCUUUCGCCAGGAUCACACUGCAGGGCGGAGGCAUCUGCCAGCAGGCAAGCGAGGAGGCAGAGAGAUGACAGUUCUCAGUCCAACAGUGGUUGCCAAAGACAGAUAUGUGCCCACAGAGGUAAGACAAUUGCACGCUUGUUCUAAAAGUCUGUUGCCUCAACAGUUUACUUCCCAAGGCGGUGCAAUUUUUCUGCUUCUCAAAGCAAAUCCUACAACUGCACAUUGAUCUCUGGGAAAAAACUCAGGGAACUGGUCUCCCAAACAGAAGUAUCAGACCAAUCUAAAUCAGAAUUGCUCAUUACUUGCUCAUCAGUGACAUGACUCCAGAGCAGGACUUCUUUAAUUUCCCACUAUUGACGACACAGCCUGGAUCAUUCUUCAUCGUGGGUCUGUCCUGAGUACUGCAGGCUGCUUAGCCUGCAGUGGCCUAUGGCCACUGCCUUCUAGAUGCCACCAGCGCUCCCCCCAGCCCCAGUCAUGAAAAUCAAGAAUGUUUUCAGAUAUUGCUAAAAGUCCCUGGAGGUUGGAG
rnacentral:lncRNA from 1 species